CUCCCUCUCCACCUGAGAAAUUUCAGUUCUGAAGCUAGAUCCUCACUCUGUAACUCAGCUUUCAUCUCUGCUUGCCACAGCAUCAGCCCACUCUCUUGGAUCCUAGAAAAGCAAAUUCAUCUUUCCAUCUGGUCCUCUUCAUCUCCUUAUUGAAUAGGUAGCAUUUGCCUCAGAUGGCUCGCCCCGUACUGAAGAACAACAUGUUUCACACUGCACGGAGAGUCGCAAAAGGCCUUAUUUCCAUCAGUGAAUCAUGUAAACUGGCUCUCCUGCUGCAAACCUACUCUGCUCGCCUGUGUUGGCUGCGGGGCUCCCCGGGGGAAGCCUGGGUAAAUGAGCAAGUGUGAAGUGCAGUGCCACAGCCUUCUGCACUUCCUUUCUCCCAAGUGCUAAAAAUAAUAUCUCAUUUGUAAAUAAAGCAGCUCCCAGACUAUUUUUAUAGUCCUUUGGAGAUGCGUUGGAUGAACAAGCCCACAUCCUGCUUUCCUCCUGCACCCCAGGUCACACCCAGCACAGGCAGCUGCUGCACUAGCUGUGUCAGAUCGCAGCAUGCAGCCGGCAUGUUUCCAUCCUGCUCUGGAGCAGCCACCCUCUCUAAUGAGAGCAGCUUUCAUUCCAGCUGAGUUCCCAGUUUCUCUCCCACUACCAACAGGACCUGCAUGCAAGCAGCUUCUGAUCAUCACAGAGAGGACACCCAUCUGCAAGGGCUUGUUCCCAGCAGGCUUAUGGACAGUGUGAGCACUCCUGAAGACCAGGCAGUGAAAGGCAAACAGCAGGUCUGCAGAGGAUUUGGCACAAUGAAGCUGUGAGCAAGGCUUUACCACCAAGCCAUAAACUGCUCCCACAGCAUACCCUGGCUGUCUAAUGGCGCACCUAAUAGACUGAGUGAGUACACAUGGAUUCACUGACUUGAGAAUCUCUGUCAUUAUUAUGAAUGCACCGAAUGAGGUAGAAGCUCAGGCUCUGCAAGGCAAAGUAGAUAAAAUAACAUUAAGAUCUAAUCUUCUCCAGAUUCCUACAAGCCUCUGGGAGGAUGUGGGAUUCAUGAUGGGUUUUUAUUUUCCGAUACAUUUCUAGUCAUACUUCUGUUGUCUCCUAUGACGCACAUAUAUGAUGUUUCUGCCUCCUCCACCAUACAAAAAAAGAGAGAGAAAGAGAGUGAGAGAGAAAGUGAACUGGGGGGAGUCCAAUUACUGGAACUUAAUUAAAACAAUUUAAAAAUGACUUAAGCAAUUAUCUAACAAGUGAUCUCUUUGGUAGCAGCUGUACACAGGCAAUUUAUUAGUUAGUGAGGCCAGCCCUGUUUUUUUUUAAUACAAACAGACUAAUUAAUCGGUGGUUAACUCUUGUAAUGACCAACUCUGGCAUUUAAUUAUUGCUGCUGUCAUCAAGCAUAAUCACUUCUUUCCCAGGGUUAUUAUACCAACUGCCAACAGUGACCAGUCCGUGUGAAGUUUAAAGUGCUUUCCCAAAUUGUCUCUCAUUUCCACAUCCUCUGGACUUGUUUAGAGCACACGUUUUUCCCAGUGUGAAAGGUUCCACCCAGCUUUUUAGCUCGGUGCCAAAUUUCCAGGAAUGCUGAGAAUUUUCUGGGAAGAAAAUCUUCCCAGCUCUUCCAUGCUUUAGUUGCUGGAGCGGGAAAGGAGAAGGAAAAAGUAUUUAUUUCCCACAUUAGAAAUCAUACAAUGAUAGAACCAUAGAAAGGCUGGAAGGUUAGAAGAGACCUCAAAGAUCACCUUGUUCCAUCCCCCUGCCAUGGACAGGGCUGUCACCCAUCAGAUCAGGCUGCCCAGGGCCCCAUCCAAACUGGGCUUGUACACCUUCAAGGAUGGGGCAUCCACAACCCUCCAAAGGAAGCACAAGCAUUAGGUAAGGCACAACAAAUCUCAGAGGUGAACCUGCUUGCCUAGAAGGCCCAUCUGUGACCACUGAACAGGUGCAGAGUGCUGACCCAGUGUAAGCUGUGUGCUUACGCUGCGAUUACCCAGUCCUGUGCACAUUUCUGGGAGUUAAAGAUUUUGUAACAGAUUUAAUAAACCUGAAAUGCCCGGCA
rnacentral:lncRNA from 1 species